UACGUAGGGUGCGAGCGUUGUCCGGAAUUAUUGGGCGUAAAGAGCUCGUAGGCGGUCUGUCGCGUCGAUCGUGAAAACUUGGGGCUUAACCCUGAGCUUGCGGGUCGAUACGGGCAUGACUGGAGUUCGGCAGGGGAGACUGGAAUUCCUGGUGUAGCGGUGAAAUGCGCAGAUAUCAGGAGGAACACCGGUGGCGAAGGCGGGUCUCUGGGCCGAUACUGACGCUGAGGAGCGAAAGCGUGGGGAGCGAACAGG
rnacentral:rRNA from 1 species